rnacentral:tRNA from 1 species
AAUGUUAUGUCUGAUUUAAGUAAUAAAUUGUAAAUUUAUUUAAGAAAAUAUUAUUUUCUAACAUUA